AUUGAACGCUGGCGACAGGCCUAACACAUGCAAGUCGAACGGUAACAGGAAGCAGCUUGCUGCUUUGCUGACGAGUGGCGGACGGGUGAGUAAUGUCUGGGAAACUGCCUGAUGGAGGGGGAUAACUACUGGAAACGGUAGCUAAUACCGCAUAACGUCGCAAGACCAAAGAGGGGGACCUUCGGGCCUCUUGCCAUCGGAUGUGCCCAGAUGGGAUUAGCUAGUAGGUGGGGUAAAGGCUCACCUAGGCGACGAUCCCUAGCUGGUCUGAGAGGAUGACCAGCCACACUGGAACUGAGACACGGUCCAGACUCCUACGGGAGGCAGCAGUGGGGAAUAUUGCACAAUGGGCGCAAGCCUGAUGCAGCCAUGCCGCGUGUAUGAAGAAGGCCUUCGGGUUGUAAAGUACUUUCAGCGGGGAGGAAGGGAGUAAAGUUAAUACCUUUGCUCAUUGACGUUACCCGCAGAAGAAGCACCGGCUAACUCCGUG
rnacentral:rRNA from 1 species